CGCGUUUUCAAAAGUUUUUCAAUUUUUUUAAAAAAAUAGUUUUUAAAAAAGUUUUAAAAAGUUUUAAAAGAGUUUUCAAAAGCAAGAAAAGUUUAAAAAGUUAGAUUUUUAAAAAAAUUUAAAAAAUUUAAAAAGUUAAAAAAAUUAGGGUUAGGGGUUAGUGGUUAGGGUUGGGGUUAAGGUUAGUUUUAGGUGCCGCGAAUUUAUUAUUAUGAUAAAUUCAAAAUUUGCCGCGAGUUUACCAUAAUGAUAAAUUCGGACGUGUUUAAGAAUUUACUCAUAUAGUAAAUUCAAAGGUGGAGCUCAUGCUGCUAUGCUUAUAGUGGAAUUUAAAAAAUUACAAAAUUUAGAAAAAUGCAAGUACACUAUAAAAUCAAAACAGAGACUUGGUAGUAUUUAAAACACGAGGAGUGUUUUAUUAUAUUUAAAACGCGAGGCGCAGCCGAGCGUUUUAGAUAUGAUAAAACGUGAGUUCGAGUGUUUUGAAUAGCUUAAAAUACGACUACGAAAGAAUACUAAUUAGGAUGAACAAUUAUAUAAUCAUACUAAUUAGGAUGAACAAUUAUAUAAAGAAUACUAAUGAAGAUGAAUUUUAUCAGAUACAAAGUCACUCACGUGACAUAUUAUGGCUGACAUGAUUUGCCACAAGAUUUAUGAAUUAUUAAUGAAUUUUUUAAAGAUACAUAUAUAAAGUAUUAAAUUGUAAUGCUGUAUAUAUAAAUCUUAAACUUGCAAUGUUUCUUUGUUUCAAUUUCUAUCAAGUGCUUCGUAUCAUGCAGAACUAUUGUAUACCUAUAGAAAACAAAACAUAUAUCAAAUCAUUGGUUCACCAUACAUUCACAACCUGGUCAAAUGUAUUGUGUGAUGUUAUUUUAUUAAAGCACAAAGAAGCUACACAAGACGUCUGUGGAAUUAUUAUAAGAAAAAAGGAAUGCUCUUGGCAAAAUUGACAUUUAAAACUGUUCCUUAAUUCAUAUAAUUAUAAAAGUAGCCUCAAGGUAUAUUUUAAAACUAACCUCAUUUUGUUCACAAUGUAGCUGCUUUUGUUCACAAUGUACGAGCUCCUGUUGAUAAACAAAGUCUGAGGCUCUCGAUCCACU